GAAAAGAAACCAACAGGGAUUGCCCUAGUAACGGCGAGUGAAGCGGCAACAGCUCAAAUUUGAAAUCUGGCCUCGGCCCGAGUUGUAAUUUGCAGAGGAUGCUUCUGGCGCGGUGCCUUCCGAGUUCCCUGGAACGGGACGCCACAGAGGGUGAGAGCCCCGUAUGGUCGGACACCAAGCCUGUGUGAAGCUCCUUCGACGAGUCGAGUAGUUUGGGAAUGCUGCUCUAAAUGGGAGGUAAAUCUCUUCUAAAGCUAAAUACCGGCCAGAGACCGAUAGCGCACAAGUAGAGUGAUCGAAAGAUGAAAAGCACCUUGAAAAGGGGGUUAAAUAGUACGUGAAAUUGUUGAAAGGGAAGCACUUGUGACCAGACUUGGGCCGGGCGGCUCAUCAGGGGUUCUCCCCUGUGCACUCCGCCCGGCACAGGCCAGCAUCGGUUCUCGUGGGGGGAUAAGACCGCAGGGAACGUAGCACCCUCCGGGGUGUGUUAUAGCCCGGCGGACGAUACCCCCGUGGGGACCGAGGUUCGCGCUCCGCAAGGAUGCUGGCGUAAUGGUCACCAGUGACCCGUCUUGAAACACGGACCAAGGAGUCGUCCAUUAGAGCGAGCGUUUGGGUGUAAAACCCGCACGCGUAAUGAAAGUGAACGCAGGUGAGAGCUUCGGCGCAUCAUCGACCGAUCCUGAUGUUCUCGGAAGGAUUUGAGUAAGAGUUUUAACGGACGGACCCGAAAGACAGUGAACUAUGCUUGUAUAGGGUGAAGCCAGAGGAAACUCUGGUGGAGGCUCGCAGCGGUUCUGACGUGCAAAUCGAUCGUCAAAUAUGAGCAUGGGGGCGAAAGACUAAUCGAACUGUCUAGUAGCUGGUUACCGCCGAAGUUUCCCUCAGGAUAGCAGUGUUGAUCUUCAGUUUUAUGAGGUAAAGCGAAUGAUUAGGGACUCGGGGGCUAUAUAUUGCCUUCAUCCAUUCUCAAACUUUAAAUAUGUAAGAAGCCCUUGUUACUUAGUUGAACGUGGGCAUUCGAAUGUACCAACACUAGUGGGCCAUUUUUGGUAAGCAGAACUGGCGAUGCGGGAUGAACCGAACGCGGGGUUAAGGCGCCAGAGUGUACGCUCAUCAGACACCACAAAAGGCGUUAGUACAUCUUGACAGCAGGACGGUGGCCAUGGAAGUCGGAAUCCGCUAAGGACUGUGUAACAACUCACCUGCCGAAUGUACUAGCCCUGAAAAUGGAUGGCGCUCAAGCGUACCGCCCAUACCCCGCCCCCAGGGUAGAAACGAUGCCCUGGGGAGUAGGCGGCCGUGGGGGUCAGUGACGAAGCCUAGGGCGUGAGCCCGG
rnacentral:rRNA from 1 species